CAGCACGCCACUGCCUCUUUGCAAGAUCCAUCUCACGGCCGCCACCAAACCUCUCCCUCCCCAGGCAUACAGACACUGGCGACCCCCAGAAGCAGCAGCGGCCAGACGUCUAAACAGAAAGCCGCAUCGGUACGAUGGAAGGCGACAUCCAGGGCAGCGGUGACGAGCGGUGACGGUCCGGAGCGGCGGGGACAGGAAAAAGAUAUCUGUUGAACUAUGCACCACUUUCCUGAGUUUGCUAUCUGCUCGUGACUGAAUAACCUUGGAUCAACGCCAGAAGGCCCAAGAUGGAAG